CAGCCGCCGCGGGAAUACGUAGGUGGCAAGCGUUGUCCGGAAUUAUUGGGCGUAAAGGGCUCGCAGGCGGUUUCUUAAGUCUGAUGUGAAAGCCCCCGGCUCAACCGGGGAGGGUCAUUGGAAACUGGGAAACUUGAGUGCAGAAGAGGAGAGUGGAAUUCCACGUGUAGCGGUGAAAUGCAUAGAGAUGUGGAGGAACACCAGUGGCGAAGGCGACUCUCUGGUCUGUAACUGACGCUGAGGAGCGAAAGCGUGGGGAGCGAACAGGAUUAGAUACCCCCGUAGUCCCUGUCUCUUAUAC
rnacentral:rRNA from 1 species